rnacentral:rRNA from 1 species
GACGAACGCUGGCGGCGUGCCUAACACAUGCAAGUCGAACGAGAUCCAUGGGAGCUUGCUCCCGGAAGAUCUAGUGGCGAACGGGUGAGUAACACGUGAGAAACCUGCCCUGGAGUGGGGAAUAACUCGGGGAAACUCGAGCUAAUACCGCAUACCCUCGGAUGGUCGCAUGGCCGACCGAGGAAAGAUUUAUCGCUCUAGGAGGGUCUCGCGGCCUAUCAGCUAGUUGGUGGGGUAACGCCUACCAAGGCAACGACGGGUAGCUGGUUUGAGAGAACGAUCAGCCACACUGGGACUGAGACACGGCCCAGACUCCUACGGGAGGCAGCAGUGGGGAAUCUUGCGCAAUGGGCGAAAGCCUGACGCAGCAACGCCGCGUGCGGGAUGACGGCCUUCGUGGUUGUAACCGACUUUCAGCAGGGACGAAAUGACGGUACCUGCAGAAGAAGCCCCGGCUAACUACGUGCCAGCAGCCGCGGUAA